UCCAAAUUCUCAAUCAUAUCUAAUUCGAUUUUUUGUUCUUGACAUUGGAGGAUAAGCUCCCAAAUCCAGUGAGGGAGAUUAUGGUGAAGAAAUUGGUCCUCAAUAUUCUAGUUGGAGAGAGCGGAGAUCGAUUCACCAAACCGCUAAGGAUGCAGGUCAUCGCACUUACGGAAGAACUCUUAGCUACUGCAAAGCAUAAUGAAGAAUCUGGUCUGGUGGCCCAACAUAAUGCAGAUGCAUCUCCCGAGCAGGAGACGUUUAGUAGAAUUUCACAGUAUCAAGUAAAUGAGUUGGAUGGAUGUUAAUUGCCAAGUUAUCUGCAGCGAAUUGUUACAAGUCUGACCAUUUGAAAAAAAAAACCAGAGAACUGGGAACUAGGAACUUGGAUUUGAUUAUGUUGGAAGCAGAGAGAGCAACUUGUCAUGAUGUUGCAAGCAAACUGGAAUAUUUAAACAGUUGUUCCCUUCUUUCUUUUCUCUCACAUUUUCCUCUCUUUCCAUUGUGUUUCAUUUUUUCCUUCAUGGAUUACAAGCAAACUGGAAUAUUUAAAUAGGCCUUUGAGUGUUGACUUGGAAAUGAAAAUGGAUGUAACUAUUUUGGAAUGGGAGCAAAUUCUUUGUU